AUUAAUUCAACGUUAAUACCCCAAGUGAUAAUAGUUGGAUGGAGCCAUUCUGAUGCCUAGAUUUCUUUGAAAUCCAGCUAUAGGGCAUAAAACUUGCACCAAAAUCUUAGACCAACCAUGGAUAGGGCUUUGAAGUAGACUGAUCAGUAACUGAGCGCAUUUGCCGCUGUGACGACAACUCCGCAAUCAGCGGUCUCUCUGUUGCAACCUUUUCUCUCUUCACCGCGCCUUCUUUCAGUCAUGCCAUUGAAAGACAAAACUGUCUCAUCUCCAGAUCUGGUCAUAGACGCAUUGUUUUGUUAUAUUUUCUGUUUUCUGGCUCGUGUGAAAGUGACCAAGGGAAGAGACAAAGGGGGUGUGUCGGAGAGCGAGAAAGGGAUCCCUGCAAUUGUGCAGUAGCCGAAGAGCCGGACAGAGGCAACGGCCGUGGUUGUGGGAGGUGCAUUGUCGUAGAGAAGGAGAGAGAGAAGGAGAAAAAUAUUUUUUUUUUAUUUGAUCCACUAUGGAUAGUCACAAUAAUCUCAAAAACACAUCUUAUCUAACAGUCAGUUCUUAUUUUCUUUUCAC
rnacentral:lncRNA from 1 species